GUUCCUGUAGUGUAAUGGAUAGCACAUUGAACUUCUAAUCCAAAGGUCGUAGGUUCAAGUCCCACCUGAAAUG